rnacentral:rRNA from 1 species
AACGAACGCUGGCGGCGUGCUUAACACAUGCAAGUCGAACGCGAAAGGGACCUCGGUCCUGAGUAAAGUGGCGCACGGGUGAGUAACGCGUAGAUAACCUGUCUUCAUGUCUGGAAUAAUACGCCGAAAGGGGUACUAAUACCGGAUAUUCUUGCUUUUCAUAAGUUAUGCAAGCAAAGGUGGCCUCUGCAUAUGCUACUGCAUGAAGAGGGGUCUGCGUACCAUUAGCUAGUAGGUGGGGUAAUGGCCUACCUAGGCGACGAUGGUUAGCGGGUCUGAGAGGAUGAUCCGCCACACUGGCACUGGAACACGGGCCAGACUCCUACGGGAGGCAGCAGUGAGGAAUAUUGCGCAAUGGGGGAAACCCUGACGCAGCGACGCCGCGUGAGUGAGGAAAGGCCUUCGGGUCGUAAAGCUCUGUCAAGAGGAAAGAAGUGUACAAUGGCUAAUACCUGUUGUAUUUGACGGUACCUCUAAAGGAAGCACCGGCUAACUCCGUGCCAGCAGCAGC